GGUGGCAAUGUACUUUUGCUUGUGUUUAGUUUGACUUUGGGAUGCUUGGACAUAAUUGGACUAAAACCAUAACCACCACCGUGAGGUGGUGGCCGCUGCCGUGAGUUGCAUUAGAAUAAGUUUUUCAAUGAGUUGCAUUGUAAGGACAAAUUUUUCCGCAUAAAAUAAAUUUUGAUUUUUAUAUUAUCCUUGCAAUGGCGUGUAUGAAAAAUUGAUGUUAAAAUGUUUCUAUUAUUAGCAAUAAUGGAUUUGGUUCUUAUUAUGUUAUUUAUGGAAAGUCGAGAAUUUACCAAAUAGGGAGAGUUUUUCAUCGCCCAAGUUUCAAUUGGACAGAAACUUGGAAUCAUGCAACUUGUUUGCACGAUGAAUGAGAAAAUUCAUAUUUGGAAAUUAGACUAAUUCAUUGACAAAGUGUCAAGUGAAGGACUAGGAGAUCAAGCACACAAAGUUUCGUGUUGAUCAAGUCAACCAUAAGAGUAACAAUGAUAUUCGUCAUGAUUUACUAAAGGUUUAGUAAAUGUGAUUAUACUUAUAAGAUUAAGUGUAAUUGUGAAUUGAUUAAAAGGGCUUAAAUCAAUAGCAAAACGAAUAAGAAGAAUCAAGUAGACAGAAAGAUAAAAGUUUCUCCAUUCUAAGAAGAAGGGAGAGUAGCUUUUAUGCUUUAUGAUAGGUCUUAAUGAUAAGAACCAUAUCUCAAUUGAUCCUCUAAGUGAGUCUUAGUACAAUUGUAUGUCUAAGAAGAGGAAUCAAGAAUUGAAGAAAUGGUUAAAUCAAGAAGUCAAUCAUACUUCGUUCCAAAACCAGUCUUAGAGUUAAGAUUGUGACAUUGAGUGAAAAGUAUUAAGAAGGUUUAUAACAUUCAUCAAAUGUGGAAAGUUGUGAUGUCUUGGAUAAGACAAAGACCAACUAAGACCAAUUUAUGAAAUGUUUUGAUAAAAGCUACACUAACUCUUGAAUAUUUGUUUGUCAAGAAAUGGUUAUUGACAAGAGAAUCUUAUAUGUCAAGGAGUCAGUGGGAGUCUUAAUGGUCUUGAAAGGUUUCAAGAACAAAUCAAAUAAACCUUAUCGAUCAUCACUAGCACACGAGUUGAGGUUUACAACCUAUCGUGUUGACAUUAUUUUGUUUCUGUGCCGAUCCAAUCGAGUUAAUUAUGCAUGUGAGUCCUAUGAGUUCUCAUUUGAAUGCAUAAAAGGCAAGGACCUUGAUCAAUGGAAAGUACAUUGAUAAGAAAAGGUGAGCUGCUUAACUACUUGGAAGACAUGGUGGGCAGCUGUGCUACCAUAAGGCAAGAAAUCGAGAUUAAGAAAGUUCGAUCCAUAUGAGUUUGAAUUUGUCGUAAACUUUGGUUUUAACAAAUUCACAUGGAUAGGAACACAUACACCGUUUAAAUCUAAGUGUCAUAAGAUUUCCUCCUUCAUGAAAAUGAUUGUGAGGAAAUGCUUUCACUAAGAAAGAUUUUAAGAAGAUAGUGAUUGUAAAAUUGCAUUCUCGAAUUCGAUUAUGGUUACGGUAUCCCUUUCCAUAAUUUGAAUUGUGAGGUUUGGCAAUUAGUCUUAAUUGUUUAGACACACAUAUGAACUAUCGAAGGCAAAGGUGUAUAAGUUCAAGAAGCCUUGAUAAAAGAUUAUCAAAGCACUAAGUAUUAGAAACAUGAACUUAAGAAAUUCAAUAAGCAUUGUUUUUCUGAAAGUUAAGAUGUUUAUGAAUACAUGUCGAAGCUAGUGGGAGCAUAAGUGUUAUGUUUUAUAAUAAUCAUCAUGAUAGUGGGAGCAUAAAUGUUAUGAUUGUAUGAUUAUUAAGGCACGUAUUGCAAGUUGGCAAUAUUAAUUAUAGAAAACAAGAGUUAUACCUUGCAAAGUCGUAAGGGUUGUAAAGUUGUUUUGCUAUAAUUAAGGGAGAGAAUAUUAUGCUUCAUUUCAAAUCUAAAGGCUUAGGUUGAGAAAUGUUAAUAAAUUUAGUCAAGGGUACAUAGUGUGUUCUUAAAAUUUCGAUUAUGAUUACGACAUUCCUCUUCACAAUUCGAAUUUUGAGAACAUAGCAAAUAAAACAUUAUGCGUCGUGUCCCAUACGCUUCGGGUAUAGGAUCGAUUGCAAAUGCUUUAAUGUUUGACCAUUCUAAAAUUUUCCAAAUGUCGAGCGCAUUUAGAGGGAAAAGGGACUAGAAUUGGUUUUGACUAAAAUAAUUAAACAACUAUCAAAGGACAAUCCAAAGUUCGACGAGGAUUGGUCGCUUGUGAGUAGUUGGAAGUAUAGUAUUGGAAAAUAUGGAAAUGUUUCCAUAUUGGAUGGACCAUAUCGACAUUAUUAUGAAUAGAUAAGAUUCUAUUAAGAAUGAGUUGUCAUAUGGAAAAUAUGGAAACGUGUCCAUAUUGGGAAUUGAAUAUUGAAAAAUCUAUGUCUAGAUUAGAAACUUCUAUGCAAAAGGAUGUUCAAAGAAUGUACUUUGAGUGAGAGACAUCACGUCUAUGGAAUUGUCUUGUAACAAUCUCCGAUAGAGGACUUUGUAAUAUCAUUGGCAAUAGUCUUUGUGACUUUGGUGCAGUGACAUUACGAAAGGAUAGUUGCAUAGAAUGUUAGAAUCUAGCAUAUUCUAUAAGUAGCAAGAAUUUGAUAUUCUUUCACUUAUGAAAAAGGGAUUUGGAGUUGUGAAAUGAGAAGGAUUGGAAAUGUGUUCAAUGUGAUCUAUUUCACAAAGUAAGAACCAUAGGUAAACAUUGUGUGCAUGCUAGGAGCAUGGGACAAGUGUUGUAAUUCAAGUAAGAAGUUGAUUACCCGAAACGACAAAUAAUGAGUAAUCAAUAUGGUGAUAAAUAAAAGGUGUUUUAUUUAUACUCAAAGGUUUGAGGCCAUAUGGGAUUAGUAUUAUUCUUGUGUUUCACAUUUGCAUGUUUUGACUUCCAGAAUAAUUGAGUUUAUUAAGAAUAAUCGAAUUAUUCAAACGGGCCACAGUCGUUCAUAUGUUGGAAGUAGAUAUGAAUGAAGACUGUCGUGAAUUGGUGUGUGGAUUGUCUAAAAGAGUAUUAGACAUAAGCAAAUGUUUGCUGCAACGUUCAUGAGUGCUUAUGAAUAUGAUUUGAGCAUUGGAUUAAACCCACGCUCACUUGGAUCACUCCAUGAAUUGUAUCACGAGUGAUUGGUGAGACGAUAACAUCUUAUAUUCUUGAAACCGAGAUGUGUGAGUUGUAUCUUGCAAAUCGGUUGCACAUUGAUAAUAUGUAAACGCACUAGUAACUUGGUGUUAUAAAACAUAUUGUUGUGUGUGAUUCGGUGAGUGAGUGCAAGCAAGCAUUGUAUCAAAGUUUAUCCGUUCCUUUUAUCCAAAGUAGGAUAAAAGCGAUAUCUUUGGGCCCCUCGAUGAUUUAGUGAUGACAAACGUAAAUGCUCGGCCGGGCUAGGGCUAAUUUGAUUUGUUCAAUUAGUCAGUCGUCAUAAAUCGGAAAUCGAGAUAUAGUACAAAGAGAAUGAUUUGAAAUCAUAUCUCAUAUGAUAUCUAGAAUGGAGGAAUAUAUGAUCCCUUAUCUAAGGACACGCGUAUCUGAUAUGAUCAGAGUUGACAGCGGCUUUGGAAAGCUACGAUUGCAGAUCGGGAUCCGAAGUCAUACGCAGAAUAGUUGUUAGACUUAUCCAAGUGGGAGACUGUUGGAUUAGUGUCUAAGUCCAUAACUAUUUUGGUAUGUACUUGACCCGAUGGUGCAUGGUCCUUUUGGGUUGCCUUCACCAAAGCAACUUGAUUGGAGAAAUAAAUAGAGAGAGAGGUUAUUAUGAUUUAUUAAUAUGUUAUAAGAAUAAUAUAUUAAAGGAGAAAUCAUAUUUGUUUAAUUAAUAUUGGUCAAUAAUUAAUUAAGAAUUAAUUUUGUGAUCAAGUGUAAUUAAUUAAACUAGAGGGGCUGAAUUGUAAUUAUGUGAUAGUUACAAAAUAAGGUAAGGAUUAUCUUAUAUAUAUGGUGAACGAAUUUGAGGUGUAAAUCCCUUAGAAUUCGACUAGGAUAAGGAUUUCUAGGACUUAUCUUAUGGUUGCUUGGUGGACAAGCAACUAGAUAAGGAUAAGGACUAAAACCCUAAUCUUUACACCUAUAUAAACCCCCUAAGGCUUAGGAAUUCGUCCAACCCUUCCCAAGAGGUCCUAAGGACGAAUUCUAACCUCCCUCCUCUCUCUUUAUACCUUCUCCACUUGCUUAUGGUGUUUGUAAGCCAUUAGAGGAGUGACACUUGUGACUCUCAGCUUUCCAAGGUCAAUUCAAGGAGGAAUUGGAUUGUUAUUGCUAUAUAACAAUCAAGGUAUGUUCUUAAACCUAAUUACAUGUGAAUUCUGAUUUCCAUAUGCUAGAAUUAGGGUUCAAAGUCUUGGAUUCAAAGUAUGUACAAUAGAGAAACCUAGAUCCAAGCUUUAGGGUUUGUAUGAGCACAUAGGAUGUCUUAUGACCAAAACCCAUCAGUGGUAUCAGAGCCUUGAUUGGUUUCUAUUGUAUUGAUGCUUGAUGUAACUGAAAAUCGUGUUUUGGCCUCACUGUUCGACCUGACUCGGCGAGUCACUCUUGGACUCGGCGAGUCAGCCCUACUCGGCGAGUUCCAGAGGGUGACUCGGCGAGUCGGUGCGUCAGACAGUGCUUAUCUCGGGAUUUCUUGCUGUUUUUGCAUUGGGAUAAUUACCUUAUCAUGUUAGAUUAAUAUUAAUCCGAUUAUAUGAUAUAUUUGACUAUAUUUUUAAUCUAAUUGAAGAUAUUUAUCAAUUAAUAAGAUAAUUGUUUCCUUAUAAGAUAAUUGAUUAAUUAUUUUAAGUAAAUUGAUAAAUUAUUUUGCAAGAAAUCAUCAAAUAUGGAUAAUUAUGUGAUUAAAUGUUAAUUUGAAUUAUUUGUUAUUUGAUCCUUGUUGUUGUGAAAAGUUUCAUAUUUGGCCCUUUAGGUUUUAUAGUUUAAAUUUGAACCCCAAAAGUUUUGUUGUUUUGAAAUUUAAAUAGUUGAAACCCUAAUGUUUUGAAAAAGGUUUCAAAACUUGCCCUCAAGUUUUGGAAUUUAAAUUUUGAUUAAAUAGUUUAAUUUUGAUGCAUAUUUAAAUUCUAAACCCUAAUGUGUUGAAAUGUUUCAAAACUUGCCCUCAAGUUUUGGAAUUUAAAAGUUGAUUAAAAGUUUAAUUAGGAAUGUUAAAUUCUAAAACUCUAGUAUAGUUUUGAAAAAGUUCAAAUCACACCCUUAUGGUUUUAUUAAUUAAUUAAGGUGUAUAAUUAAAAGAGGUUUAAUAAAUCCAUAAAAGUUUAGGUUUACAAUUUAAUUGAAUUAAAAGUAUAAUUGUUAAAUUAGACCACCUAGUAUUUUAAAAGUAUAAAAUACACCCUAUACUAUAUAUAACAUUAAAAGUCUAACAUUAUAUAUAUGUAUGAGUAAAAGUCAGUCUUACCGUUAGUAGGCCUCAUUCACGAAGCUGGUCUAUAAGGGGUGUUUAAGGAAAUUGCCUAUAAAAUGGCGAUUGAAUGGGUAUCCACUCUUACCCACCGCACUCUUGACUAGUGGAGGGUCGUUAGCCGAACGGGUAGGAUAGGACGAAACCUUCCAUUAUAAGUAUAAUGAAUUAUUAAAGUAACUAAAUGUUUUCAUAAAAUUCCCAAUCUUAGUUACUUAGGCAAAAGUGAAUUGAUGCAAUUCCAUGAAAUUACACUUUGUGCCCUUGCGAAGACGUUAGUGGAGCGUGUGUGGUUAACCGGCACACUAAAUGGUUCUAAGCAAAGGUAGCAAAGGGUGACUCAAUGUUUGUCAUAGUUCGGUGGAGCGUGUGUGGUUUACCGGCACAUCGAAUAGGUGACUGUAACAUGUGAGGGCACCAUGUAAGUUUGCAUGGUUAUUCACACCCGCUUUGUGAUCCUCGGCAUCCCAGUCACAAACAAGAGGGGCAUAUCGAGAUUUAAACAUGCCAUUGAAAGUUCAAUGAAUCUCAAAGGAUCUAGGAGUUUUCAUAGAUUUAAAACUUAAAUUUCUUUUUCGUUUUUCAUGGUGGAAAUUAGUGAAUCGUCAUUCACUUACCUUCAAAUAUUCUGCAAUUAGGGUUACGGCAUCCCUCUCCCGAGUUGUAGAAUAUUGUGUUGGGUCCUAGCCUUAGUAUCUCAUUUGGGUGAUUUACUAAGGACUCAAUCAAUCAACUAACUUGAAUUCGUUUUCUCCCGUUUUGUAGAUGUCAAAGUUCGACAACUAUGGUCUUCCCAAAUCCCGUGGAACAAGCAUUCCACAUGAAGAUGAUAUUCCACGAUUCGAUCGAGGAACAAGAAAUCAUGCUUCACUUCCUCCUCCUCCUCCAAUUAUUCUCCCUAACCCACAAGUUCAAAGGCUUGAAAAGUUCAAGAUCACUCAAGCCCUUUUGGCAAGUAAACAUAAAGAAGGAAAGUCGGUGUGUGCACACGUCCUAGGGAUGAAGUCACACAUUGAUAGGUUAAGAAUGUUGGGAUCCGUUGUCUGUGAGGAAAUGGCUGUUGAUUGGGUUCUUCAGUCACUUCCUAACUCAUAUAGUGAGUUCGUAAGAGAGUACUAUAUGAUGAACCGCGACGUGACCCUUAUAGAUCUCACCUAUAUGCUUAUUGCUGCUGAAUCAGCAAUGGUUUGGCGCAAUAGAAAAGCAAAGUUGAUUGGUGAAUCUGCCUUCAAGACCUCUAUGGAUAUAGACAAUGGCAACGAAAGACAUGCUAUGAUCGAAAAGUUUGAUCAUAAGAGAAAGGCAAUGUCUGAAGUAGUUCCAUGUCAUGUUCCAAAAGAGUCAAUUUGCUUUUAUUGCCAAGAGAAAGGGCAUUGGAGACGAAGCUGCCCCAUUUACCUAAGAGAUCUAAGAGAUGGGAGAGUCGAAACGUAUGGCUCUAAUAUAGGUAAAAUCCAUUAACUAACUCUUUUAAGCUUCUAUUCUAGAUUCUUAAUACAUAAUGUGAUAAGAUUACAAUUGAUGUUUUGUAGGAUCGAAGAAAAGAAAGGAAGCUUAAGGGAAGAAGUGAGCAGAAUCUAACCGUGAAGGAAUGGAUUUCGAUCGCAUUUCUCGAAGAUUAGAUUCUUGAGCUACUACUUAGAGUUAGAAUUAGAUUGCUAAGAAAGAUGUAUUAGCAUAGUUUUUCAAUGAAUUGCAUUGUAAGGACAAAUUUUUUCCGCAAUAAAAUAAAUUUUGAUUUUAUAUUAUUUAUUUAUCCUUGCAAUGGCGUAUAUGAAAAAUUGAUGUUUGAAUGUUUCUAUUAUUAGCAAUAAUGGAUUUGGUUCUUAUUAUGUUAUUUAUGGAAAGUCGAGAGUUUACCAAAUAGGGAGAGUUUCUCAUCGCCCAAGUUUCAAUUGGACAGAAACUUGGAAUCAUGCAACUUGGUUGCACGAUGAAUGAGAAAUUUCAUAUUUGGAAAUUAGACUAAUUCAUUGACAAAGUGUCAAGUGAAGGACUAGGAGAUCGAGUACACAAAGUUGCGUGUUGAUCAAGUCCACCAUAAGAGUAACAAAGAUAUUCGUCAUGAUUUACUAAAGGUUUAGUAAAUAUGAUUAUACUUACAAGAUUAAGUGUAAUUCUGAAUUGAUUGAAGAAGUUUAAAUCAAUAGCAGAACGAAUAAGAAGAAUCAAGUAGGCAGAAAGAUAAAAGUUUCUCCAUUCUAAGAAGAAGGGAGAGUACCUUUUAUGCUUUAUGAUAGGUCUUAAUGAUUAAGAACCAUAUCUCAAUUGAUCCUCUAAGUGAGUCUUAGUACAAUUGUAUGUCUAAGAAGA
rnacentral:lncRNA from 1 species